GAUGAAGAACGCAGCGAAAUGCGAUAAGUAAUGCGAAUUGCAGAAUUCCAGUGAGUCAUCGAAUCUUUGAACGCACAUUGCGCCCUCUGGUAUUCCGGGGGGCAUGCCUGUCCGAGCGUCAUUUGCAACCCUCAAGCCCGGCUUGUGUGAUGGGUGCCGUCCCCUACGGGACGCGCCCCGAAGGCAAUGGCGGCGUCGCGGUUAUCCGAUCAGCCAAAGUGUAUGGGGCUUUGUCACUCACUUUACGGCCCGGACCGGCGCCAGUCCGAAUCAAUCUUUUUUCUAAAGUUGACCUCGGAUCAGGUAGGGAUACCCGCUGAACUUAAGCAUAUCAAUAAGCGGAGGA
rnacentral:misc_RNA from 1 species